CACUUUAUGGAUCCUAGGUUCUCCAUGUUUUUAUUUAUACAUAUAAAAAUUGUUCUUAAAAAAACAUUUUUACUACUUUAAGUAUGAUGUUGGGGAGGAGAGGAGUGUUUUAACUUUUUAUAGUUGAUGAUUUAGGGUAGCACGAAUGAAACUCCUUUGUAUUUCAUUUUUCUCAGUCCUCUCUUGAGGUGCUUUACUGAUGAGAGUGAUUUCCAUACCUUCCUUUGGUACCAAGAGGUACCCCAUAAAGUAACCUAUUAUACCAACUUACCUACUUUGCUUUCCUCCCUAAGGUGAAGUAAUACAGUAAGUUUUUUUAUCCAGCAUAACAGGAGAGUGGAAGUGAAUCAAAACUGCUUUGUUAAUUAA
rnacentral:lncRNA from 1 species